ACUCCUACGGGAGGCAGCAGUGGGGAAUAUUGCGCAAUGGGCGAAAGCCUGACGCAGCGACGCCUCGUGAGGGAUGAAGGUCUUCGGAUCGUAAACCUCUGUCAAGAGGGAAGAAACCAUUGAAGUCGAACAGGCUUCUUUAUUGACGGUACCUCUGAAGGAAGCACCGGCUAACUCCGUGCCAGCAGCCGCGGUAAU
rnacentral:rRNA from 1 species